UACGUAGGGUGCAAGCGUUGUCCGGAAUUAUUGGGCGUAAAGAGCUCGUAGGCGGUUUGUUGCGUCGGCUGUGAAAUCCCGAGGCUCAACCUCGGGUCUGCAGUCGAUACGAGCAAACUAGAGUGUUGCAGGGGAGACUGGAAUUCCUGGUGUAGCGGUGAAAUGCGCAGAUAUCAGGAGGAACACCGGUGGGCGAAGGCGGGGUCUCUGGGCAACAACUGACGCUGGAGGAGCGAAAGCCGUGGGGAGCGAACAGG
rnacentral:rRNA from 1 species